rnacentral:misc_RNA from 1 species
ACUAAGCUUCUGCUCUUUUAUCUGUAUUGCUCUGUCUAUCUCUUUAAUGGGUUUUAAUUUAAUCUUUUGUUCUUUCAUUUUCUCAAUAAUUUUCUAAAAUUCUGCAUUGUGAGUUGUUAAAUAAUAUAGCAGGUUAUUUUCUUAAUGCGUAUGUUGAUAUGGCUAUAAGUUAAGAUUACCUUGGUUUUGUGGCUUUGCUUGUUUUUGAUGAUUAAAAUCAAUACAUGAAGCCUUUUGAGAGCUAUUAGUA